GGGUUGUGAGGUUAAGCGACUAAGCGUACACGGUGGAUGCCCUGGCAGUCAGAGGCGAUGAAGGACGUGCUAAUCUGCGAAAAGCGUCGGUAAGGUGAUAUGAACCGUUAUAACCGGCGAUGUCCGAAUGGGGAAACCCAGUGCAAUUCGUUGCACUAUCGUUAACUGAAUACAUAGGUUAACGAGGCGAACCGGGGGAACUGAAACAUCUAAGUACCCCGAGGAAAAGAAAUCAACCGAGAUUCCCCCAGUAGCGGCGAGCGAACGGGGAGCAGCCCAGAGUCUGAAUCAGCUUGUGUGUUAGUGGAACGGUCUGGAAAGUCCGACGGUACAGGGUGAUAGUCCCGUACACCAAAAUGCACAGGCUGUGAACUCGAAGAGUAGGGCGGGACACGUGGUAUCCUGUCUGAAUAUGGGGGGACCAUCCUCCAAGGCUAAAUACUCCUGACUGACCGAUAGUGAACCAGUACCGUGAGGGAAAGGCGAAAAGAACCCCGGCGAGGGGAGUGAAAAAGAACCUGAAACCGUGUACGUACAAGCAGUGGGAGCACCUUCGGGUGUGACUGCGUACCUUUUGUAUAAUGGGUCAGCGACUUAUAUUCUGUAGCAAGGUUAACCGUAUAGGGGAGCCGCAGGGAAACCGAGUCUUAACUGGGCGUUAAGUUGCAGGGUAUAGACCCGAAACCCGGUGAUCUAGCCAUGGGCAGGUUGAAGGUUGGGUAACACUAACUGGAGGACCGAACCGACUAAUGUUGAAAAAUUAGCGGAUGACUUGUGGCUGGGGGUGAAAGGCCAAUCAAACCGGGAGAUAGCUGGUUCUCCCCGAAAGCUAUUUAGGUAGCGCCUCGUGAAUUCAUCUUCGGGGUAGAGCACUGUUUCGGCUAGGGGGUCAUCCCGACUUACCAACCCGAUGCAAACUACGAAUACCGAAGAAUGUUAUCACGGGAGACACACGGCGGGUGCUAACGUCCGUCGUGAAGAGGGAAACAACCCAGACCGCCAGCUAAGGUCCCAAAGUCAUGGUUAAGUGGGAAACGAUGUGGGAAGGCACAGACAGCCAGGAUGUUGGCUUAGAAGCAGCCAUCAUUUAAAGAAAGCGUAAUAGCUCACUGGUCGAGUCGGCCUGCGCGGAAGAUGUAACGGGGCUAAACCAUGCACCGAAGCUGCGGCAGCGACACUAUGUGUUGUUGGGUAGGGGAGCGUUCUGUAAGCCUGCGAAGGUGACCUGUGAGGGUUGCUGGAGGUAUCAGAAGUGCGAAUGCUGACAUAAGUAACGAUAAAGCGGGUGAAAAGCCCGCUCGCCGGAAGACCAAGGGUUCCUGUCCAACGUUAAUCGGGGCAGGGUGAGUCGACCCCUAAGGCGAGGCCGAAAGGCGUAGUCGAUGGGAAACAGGUUAAUAUUCCUGUACUUGGUGUUACUGCGAAGGGGGACGGAGAAGGCUAUGUUAGCCGGGCGACGGUUGUCCCGGUUUAAGCAUGUAGGCUGGUUAUCCAGGCAAAUCCGGAUAAUCAAGGCUGAGGUGUGAUGACGAGGCACUACGGUGCUGAAGUAACAAAUGCCCUGCUUCCAGGAAAAGCCUCUAAGCAUCAGGUAACAUUAAAUCGUACCCCAAACCGACACAGGUGGUCAGGUAGAGAAUACCAAGGCGCUUGAGAGAACUCGGGUGAAGGAACUAGGCAAAAUGGUGCCGUAACUUCGGGAGAAGGCACGCUGGUGUGUAGGUGAAGUCCCUGCGGAUGGAGCUGAGACCAGUCGAAGAUACCAGCUGGCUGCAACUGUUUAUUAAAAACACAGCACUGUGCAAACACGAAAGUGGACGUAUACGGUGUGACGCCUGCCCGGUGCCGGAAGGUUAAUUGAUGGGGUUAUCCGUAAGGAGAAGCUCUUGAUCGAAGCCCCGGUAAACGGCGGCCGUAACUAUAACGGUCCUAAGGUAGCGAAAUUCCUUGUCGGGUAAGUUCCGACCUGCACGAAUGGCGUAAUGAUGGCCAGGCUGUCUCCACCCGAGACUCAGUGAAAUUGAACUCGCUGUGAAGAUGCAGUGUACCCGCGGCAAGACGGAAAGACCCCGUGAACCUUUACUAUAGCUUGACACUGAACAUUGAGCCUUGAUGUGUAGGAUAGGUGGGAGGCUUUGAAGCGUGGACGCCAGUCUGCGUGGAGCCAACCUUGAAAUACCACCCUUUAAUGUUUGAUGUUCUAACGUUGGCCCCUUACCGGGGUUGCGGACAGUGUCUGGUGGGUAGUUUGACUGGGGCGGUCUCCUCCCAAAGCGUAACGGAGGAGCACGAAGGUUAGCUAAUCCUGGUCGGACAUCAGGAGGUUAGUGCAAUGGCAUAAGCUAGCUUGACUGCGAGCGUGACGGCGCGAGCAGGUGCGAAAGCAGGUCAUAGUGAUCCGGUGGUUCUGAAUGGAAGGGCCAUCGCUCAACGGAUAAAAGGUACUCCGGGGAUAACAGGCUGAUACCGCCCAAGAGUUCAUAUCGACGGCGGUGUUUGGCACCUCGAUGUCGGCUCAUCACAUCCUGGGGCUGAAGUAGGUCCCAAGGGUAUGGCUGUUCGCCAUUUAAAGUGGUACGCGAGCUGGGUUUAGAACGUCGUGAGACAGUUCGGUCCCUAUCUGCCGUGGGCGCUGGAGAAUUGAGGGGGGCUGCUCCUAGUACGAGAGGACCGGAGUGGACGCAUCACUGGUGUUCGGGUUGUCAUGCCAAUGGCACUGCCCGGUAGCUAAAUGCGGAAGAGAUAAGUGCUGAAAGCAUCUAAGCACGAAACUUGCCCCGAGAUGAGUUCUCCCUGAGACUUUAAGUCUCCUGAAGGAACGUUAAAGACGAUGACGUUGAUAGGCCGGGUGUGUAAGCGCAGCGAUGCGUUGAGCUAACCGGUACUAAUGAACCGUGAGGCUUAACCUUACAACGCCGAAG
rnacentral:rRNA from 1 species